rnacentral:rRNA from 1 species
GAUGAACGCUGGCGGCGUGCUUAACACAUGCAAGUCGAACGGAAAGGCCCAAGCUUGCUUGGGUACUCGAGUGGCGAACGGGUGAGUAACACGUGGGUGAUCUGCCCUGCACUUCGCGAUAAGCCUGGGAAACUGGGUCUAAUACCGGAUAGGACCACGUCUUGGAUGUUGUGGUGGAAAGUUUUUUCGGUGUGGGAUGAGCUCGCGGCCUAUCAGCUUGUUGGUGGGGUAAUGGCCUACCAAGGCGUCGACGGGUAGCCGGCCUGAGAGGGUGUACGGCCACAUUGGGACUGAGAUACGGCCCAGACUCCUACGGGAGGCAGCAGUGGGGAAUAUUGCACAAUGGGCGCAAGCCUGAUGCAGCGACGCCGCGUGGGGGAUGACGGCCUUCGGGUUGUAAACUCCUUUCGCUAGGGACGAAGCGUUUUUGUGACGGUACCUGGAGAAGAAGCACCGGCUAACUACGUG